ensembl:lncRNA
CACCAGACAGAGAGAGAGUAUUGGCUGCACAAACUGCUCGUUGAGCACAGUCAGCCACCAGCUUUCUCUAGGGUGCUGCUUUCACUAAAUGAACUGCUACAUUCCGCAUCAGUGAAGGAACUCAGUUUGGGUGGAGGUGGAUAAAACCCAUCUAGGACACAGUUAAAGGCUAAGUACGGAGCCAGUAUCCUUCCACGAUGUGGGAAGACAAUCUGCAGUUUUGUCUCAGGUGACCCUCGAGAGGAAAAGGCUGAUGUCUAUGACUUUCCCUUCCCUUCAAGAAAUGUUGAAAAAGUAAUUAAACGAAAGAAGAAGAAGACCCAAGUCUGGCUUAAAGUCUGGAAAGUAAUUUCAAAAAUGCUUGAAGAAAAUGAAAAGUUCAGACAUCGACUGUUGACUUGCAGUCAGUUCAAUGGAGAAAGCAAUGAUGCGAUCCAAGUACACAGAAGGAGGCACUCCCGCUGGACAGGGAGGAGUCCAUCUUUGGUUGGGUGUAGCAAGAAAAUAAAGGAAGAUUCAGGCCAAAAGGAAAUAUAAAACUAGUAAAAUUGUUUUCAUCUAUAUCUUACUAAAAUUAGUGGGAAGACUACAAAUGAUUCAGAUGAACAUUGUUUCUCUGUUUGUUUGGCACGUAUGUUUCUGCUGUUCAAUAGGUUUGUUUUUAGAGUGGCUUAAAUAGCUUGUUGCAAGAUAUUUGAAGUCAUUAAGUUUAAUAUUUCAUUUAGUUAUUCGUUUUUGAAAGCCUUUUAGUGAGCAUAGUAUUGUGACAGUUUGCUUGUAAAAGAAUAAAGAUGCACAUUUAG